GACGAACGCUGGCGGCGUGCCUAAUACAUGCAAGUCGAACGAACCGCGACUAAGUGCUUGCACUAAGUCAAGGUGAGUGGCGAACGGGUGAGUAACACGUGGGUAACCUACCUCAUAGUGGGGGAUAACAGUCGGAAACGACUGCUAAUACCGCAUAGGACAUAGGAUCACAUGAUCCAGUGAGGAAAGGUGGCGCAAGCUAUCGCUAAGAGAUGGACCCGCGGUGCAUUAGCGAGUUGGUAGGGUAAAGGCCUACCAAGGCGAUGAUGCAGAGUCGACCUGAGAGGGGGAUCGGCCACAUUGGGACUGAGACACGGCCCAAACUCCUACGGGAGGCAGCAGUAGGGAAUCUUACGCAAUGGACGCAAGUCUGACGGAGCAACGCCGCGUGAGUGAAGAAGGUCUUCGGAUCGUAAAGCUCUGUUGUUAGAGAAGAACAGCGCAUAGAGUAACUGCUAUGCGUGUGACGGUAUCUAAUCAGAAAGCCACGGCUAACUACGUG
rnacentral:rRNA from 1 species